GAUGAACGCUGGCGGCGUGCCUAAUACAUGCAAGUCGAGCGAACGGACGAGAAGCUUGCUUCUCUGAUGUUAGCGGCGGACGGGUGAGUAACACGUGGAUAACCUACCUAUAAGACUGGGAUAACUUCGGGAAACCGGAGCUAAUACCGGAUAAUAUUUUGAACCGCAUGGUUCAAAAGUGAAAGACGGUCUUGCUGUCACUUAUAGAUGGAUCCGCGCUGCAUUAGCUAGUUGGUAAGGUAACGGCUUACCAAGGCAACGAUGCAUAGCCGACCUGAGAGGGUGAUCGGCCACACUGGACCUGAGACACGGUCCAGACUCCUACGGGAGGCAGCAGUAGGGAAUCUUCCGCAAUGGGCGAAAGCCUGACGGAGCAACGCCGCGUGAGUGAUGAAGGUCUUCGGUUCGUAAAACUCUGUUAUUAGGGAAGAACAUAUGUGUAAGUAACUGUGCACAUCUUGACGGUACCUAAGCAGAAAGCCACGGCUAACUACGU
rnacentral:rRNA from 1 species